rnacentral:rRNA from 1 species
GACGAACGCUGGCGGCGUGCUUAACACAUGCAAGUCGAACGGAAAGGCCCUGCUUUUGUGGGGUGCUCGAGUGGCGAACGGGUGAGUAACACGUGAGUAACCUGCCCUUGACUUUGGGAUAACUUCAGGAAACUGGGGCUAAUACCGGAUAGGAGCUCCUGCUUCAUGGUGGGGGUUGGAAAGUUUCGGCGGUUGGGGAUGUACUCGCUGCUUAUCAGCUUGUUGGUGGGGUAGUGGCUUACCAAGGCUUUGACGGGUAGCCGGCCUGAGAGGGUGACCGGCCACAUUGGGACUGAGAUACGGCGCAGACUCCUACGGGAGGCAGCAGUGGGGAAUAUUGCACAAUGGGCGGAAGCCUGAUGCAGCAACGCCGCGUGCGGGAUGACGGCCUUCGGGUUGUAAACCGCUUUCGCCUGUGACGAAGCGUGAGUGACGGUAAUGGGUAAAGAAGCACCGGCUAACUACGUG